CCCCGGGCUCCGUGCAACGGGCCGCCGCGAACCCCGCCAGGUCCGGAAGGAAGCAACGGUAGUGGCCCAGCCCGUGUGCCGCGGAUCACCCGGGACCU
rnacentral:SRP_RNA from 1 species